GUUUCGAUUUGGUCUACACAUAUAAAGUGAAUAUGUGCAUCAAUCCCGCCUGCUGUGACAAUUUUACCCUCUGCCGCAAUAAUGUCUGUAGAAGCACCGAUUGUCAUUGUGACACCAUCCAUUAAAAGCGAGUUGCCCGCUUUUCCGAUAUUGGCAAUCCGCCCGUUUUUCACACCGAUAUCUGCUUUAUAAAUGCCGGUAUAGUCAAUAACGACAGCAUUAGUCAGCACCAAAUCCAUACAAUCUGCCUCUACUGCAAGCGGAUGCUGGCCCAUACCAUCUCG
rnacentral:sRNA from 1 species